GUUGCGCGGAAAAUUCAACGGGGCUAAGCAUACAACCGAAGCUUGGGCAGUAGUAAUACUGGGUAGGGGAGCGUUCUGUACGGGCAGAAGCAUCAGCGGAAGCAGGUGUGGACUGUACAGAAGUGAGAAUGCCGGAAUGAGUAGCGAGAAUUGUGUGAGAAUCAUAAUGGCCGAAAAUCUAAGGUUUCCGGGGGUAGGGUCGUCCACCCCGGGUUAGCCGGGAGCUAAGGCGAGGCCGCGAGGCGUAGUCGAUGCACAAACGGUAGAGAUUCCGUUGCCGCCAGAUCUUAAGUAACUGACACGAGGGUAGAGUUCAACCCGGCCGAUGGUAGAGCCGGGCGAAAGGGACUGAAGAAUAGUAGGGAAGUGAACGAAGCCAGCGGCGAGAAAAGGUUAUGUAUGAAAUCAGGCGCCCGUACCGCAAACCGACACAGGUAGAUGAGGAGAGGAUCCUAAGGCCAGCGGGAGAAGGGUUGUUAAGGAACUCGGCAUAUUGACCCCGUAACUUCGGAAGAAGGGGUGCCUCCGUAAGGAGGCCGCAGUGAAAAGGCCCAGGCAACUGUUUAUCAAAAACACAGGUUUCUGCAAAAGCGAAAGCUGAAGUAUAGGAGCUGACGCCUGCCCGGUGCUGGAAGGUCAAGGGGAUCGCUUAGCGCAAGCGAAGGCGAGAACUUAAGCCCCAGUAAACGGCGGCCGUAACUAUAACGGUCCUAAGGUAGCGAAAUUCCUUGCCAGGUAAGUUCUGGCCUGCACGAAUGGCGUAAUGAUCUGGGCACUGUCUCAACAGCCCGCCCGGCGAAAUUGUUGUACUGGUGAAGAUGCCGGUUACCUGCGACUAGACGGAAAGACCCCAUGGAGCUUUACUGUAGUCUGAUACUGAAAUUUGGUUCAUUAUGCACAGGAUAGGUGGGAGACAGAGAAACCCGGGCUUUGGCUUGGGCGGAGUCGCCGUUGGGAUACCACUCUUGAUGAACCAAGUUUCUAACCUGCUCCCGUGAUCCGGGAGGGGGACAAUGUCAGAUGGGCAGUUUGACUGGGGCGGUCGCCUCCAAAAGAGUAACGGAGGCGUUCAAAGGUUGGCUCAGCGCGGACGGAAAUCGCGCAAUGAGUAUAAACGUAUAAGCCAGCCUAACUGUGAGACCUACAAGUCGAGCAGUAACGAAAGUUGGAGUUAGUGAUCAGGUGGUAGUGAGUGGAAAUGCCAUCGC
rnacentral:rRNA from 1 species